CCUACGGGAGGCAGCAGUGAGGAAUAUUGGUCAAUGGGCGCGAGCCUGAACCAGCCAAGUAGCGUGAAGGAUGACUGCCCUACGGGUUGUAAACUUCUUUUAUAAAGGAAUAAAGUGAGGCACGUGUGCCUUUUUGUAUGUACUUUAUGAAUAAGGAUCGGCUAACUCCGUGCCAGCAGCCGCGGUAAUACGGAGGAUCCGAGCGUUAUCCGGAUUUAUUGGGUUUAAAGGGUGCGUAGGCGGCCUUUUAAGUCAGCGGUGAGAGUCUGUGGCUCAACCAUAGAAUUGCCGUUGAAACUGGGGGGCUUGAGUAUGUUUGAGGCAGGCGGAAUGCGUGGUGUAGCGGUGAAAUGCUGAGAUAUCACGCAGAACCCCGAUUGCGAAGGCAGCCUGCCAAGCCAUGACUGACGCUGAUGCACGAAAGCGUGGGGAUCAAACAGGAUUAGAUACCCGUGUAGUC
rnacentral:rRNA from 1 species